rnacentral:rRNA from 1 species
UCCUACGGGAGGCAGCAGUGGGGAAUAUUGGACAAUGGGCGCAAGCCUGAUCCAGCAAUGCCGCGUGAGUGAUGGAGGCCUUAGGGUUGUAAAGCUCUUUUACCAGGGAUGACAAUGACAGUACCUGGAGAAUAAGCUCCGGCUAACUCCGUGCCAGCAGCCGCGGUAAU